GACGAACGCUGGCGGCGUGCUUAACACAUGCAAGUCGAACGGUGACCCAGGGCUUGCCCUGGUGAUCAGUGGCGAACGGGUGAGUAACACGUGGGCAACCUGCCCCUGACUUCGGGAUAACUCCUCGAAAGAGGAGCUAAUACCGGAUACGACCACUUCGGACAUCCGAUGGUGGUGGAAAGUUCUUCGGUCAGGGAUGGGCCCGCGGCCUAUCAGCUAGUUGGUGGGGUAAUGGCCUACCAAGGCGACGACGGGUAGCCGGCCUGAGAGGGCGACCGGCCACACUGGGACUGAGACACGGCCCAGACUCCUACGGGAGGCAGCAGUGGGGAAUAUUGCGCAAUGGGCGAAAGCCUGACGCAGCGACGCCGCGUGAGGGAUGAAGGCCUUCGGGUUGUAAACCGUCUUUCAGCAGGACGAAGCGAAAGUAGACGGU
rnacentral:rRNA from 1 species